UGGGGAAUUUUGGACAAUGGGCGAAAGCCUGAUCCAGCAAUGCCGCGUGUGUGAAGAAGGCCUUCGGGUUGUAAAGCACUUUUGUCCGGAAAGAAAUCCUUGGCUCUAAUACAGUCGGGGGAUACGGUACCGGAAGAAUAAGCACCGGCUAACUACGUGCCAGCAGCCGCGGUAAUACGUAGGGUGCAAGCGUUAAUCGGAAUUACUGGGCGUAAAGCGUGCGCAGGCGGUUUGCUAAGACCGAUGUGAAAUCCCCGGGCUCAACCUGGGAACUGCAUUGGUGACUGGCAGGCUAGAGUAUGGCAGAGGGGGGUAGAAUUCCACGUGUAGCAGUGAAAUGCGUAGAGAUGUGAGGAAUACCGAUGGCGAAGGCAGCCCCCUGGGCCAAAUACUGACGCUCAUGCACG
rnacentral:rRNA from 1 species